GCGCCUGUCACUUCCCUUCUUUCCCCUGCACGAGGCUUUCUUUCCCCAGGCUUUCUUUCCCAUCGACACCUCGUCUCUCUCCUUUCUCUUCUCCCUAAAAACAGUCCAAAGGGCAAAAACCCUAGCAACCACCUUAUUUUUCCUCUCCCUUUGCUCGGUCUCCACCUCUCCCGCCGCUGCCUCGCCUCCGUUCUUUCCUUUGCCAUCGUAGCCUCGCGUCCAGCCCUCCGCGGUGUUGCGGUUUUUCAUCUCGGUGUUGCAAUCGGCGGUCGCAGCCGACCAAGACGAUCGAGAAGGCUUCUCGGCGCAAUCGGCGGUCGCAGCCUUCUCCGGCGUUGCAGUCGGCGGUCACAGCCCU
rnacentral:lncRNA from 1 species